UGCUUCAUGUAAACCAUCUCCAGCUUCUGUUUCUCUACCUAAGGUCUUCAAGGCCAGAAAAGAGAAUAUUUGAAGUGUAAAAGGAGAGAUAUGCUUCAUGUAAACCCUCUGCACCUUUGAUUUCUCUUCUGAAGGUCUUCAAGGCCCUCAAAAGAGAAUAUUUGAGGUGGAAAAAGGAGAAAUUUGCUUCAUGCAAACAAUCUCCAGCUUUUCAGCUUUUUUCUAAGGUGUUCAAGGCCAUAAGAGAGAACAGUUACGGUGAAAAUGGAGAAAUUUGAUUUAUGCAUACAAUCUCCCAGGUCUUCAAGGCCUCGAAAGAAAAUGUUUUAAGGCUUAAAAGGAGAAAUUUGCUUCAUGCAAACAAUCUCCUAAAUUUUACUUCCCUAAGAUCUUCAAGGCCUCAAAAGAGAAUACUGCAAGUGAAAAUGGAGAAAUAUGCUUCAUGCAAAACCAUCUCCUACUUUUAUUUCUCUCCCUAAGGUCUUCAAGACCUGAAAAUAAAUUAUUUGAAGUUUAAAAGGAGAAAUUUGCUUCAUGUAAGCCACUUCCCACUUUCAUUUCUCUACCUAAGGUCUCUAAGACCUGAAAAGAGAAUAUUUGUGUUGAAAAAGGACAUGUUUUCUUCAUGUGAGCCAUCUCCUGCUUUUGUUUCUCUACCUAUGGGCCAGAAAGAAUAAUAUAUAGGGUUAAAUUGGGAAAAAAUUGCCAUUUGCCUUUUAUAAAAACUCACCUCAUUUUUCUACCUAAAGUCUUCAAGACCUGAAGAGAAAAUGUGUGAGUUGGAGAAAGAGAAACUUGCCUCACGCAGAAACAUCUCCUGUGCAUUACUCCACCUGAGACCUUCAAGGCCUUUUAAAAGACAAUGAAGAGAGAAUAUUGGUAGUGAAAGGAGAAAUUUGCUUCAAGCAAUCUUCAGCUAUUCUAUCUCUACCUAAGGUCGGUCUUCAAGACUUGAAAAGGGAAUGUUUGUGUUGAAAAAGGAGUUUCCUUGAUGCAAUCUCCUGCUAUUAUUUCUCUACCUAAAGUCUUCAAGGCCUUCAAAGAGGCUACUUGCAGGGGGAGAAAGGAGAAAUUUGCUUCAUGCAGAUAUACUACCCGUGCAUUACUCCACCUCAGGCCUUCAAACCCUUUAAACUGAGAAUGAAUAGAGAGUAUCUGAGGUGCAAAAGGAGGAAUUUGUUUUAUUGCAAACCAUCUCCUGCAUUUCCUUCUCUUUGUAAGGUCUACAAGGCCUCCAAAGGGAAUAUUUGAGGUGAAAAAUGAGAAUUUUGCUUCGUGCAAAAAAUCACCAGCUUUUACAUCUUUAUCUAAGGUGUUCAAAGCCAUAAAAGAGAACAUAUGCCGUGAAAUUGGAGAAAUUUGCUUCAUUUAUACAAUUACUCCAAGGUCUAGAAGGCCUCAAAGGAAAACAUUUGGGGUUUAAAAGGAGAAACUUGCUUCAUGCAAACCAUCUCCUGCUUUCCUAAAAUCUUCAAGACCUGAAAAGAGAAUAUUUGAGGUUUAAAAGAAGAAAUUUGCUUCAUGUAAUCAAUCUCCCACUUUCAUUUUUCCACCUAAGGUCUUCACUACUUAAAAACAGAAUAUUUGUGUUGAAAAAGGACAAGUUUUCCUCAUGCAAACAAUCAGCUGCUUCUGUUUCUCCUCCAAAGGACCAGAAAAGCAAUAGAUGGGGUUAAUAAGGGAGAAAUUUGCUUCAUGCAAACACUCUCCUACUGAUCCCUCUAAGGUCUUCAAAGACCUGAAGAGAAAAAUAUAUGAACUGAUAAAGGAGACAUUUGUUUCAUGAAUAAACACCUCCUGUGCAUUAGUCCAUUUCUGGUCUUCAAGGCCUUUGAUUAAAGAGUGGAUACAGAAAAUCUCAGAUGAAAAAGGUGGAAUUUGCUUCAUGUAUACUAUCUCUUGCUUUUAUUUCUCUACCCUGAGGCCUUCAAGGCCAGAAAAGAAUAUAUGGGUUGAAAAAGAGAAAUUUGCUUCAUCUGGACAAAUCUCCUUUGCUUUAUGCCGCCUCUCACUUUUAAGGUGUUUUCAAUUGAGAAUGAAUGUAGAAUAUCCAAUGAGCAAGAGAAAUAAUUUCCUUCAUGGAAGAAAAUAUCCCACUUCUCUACCGACAGUUUUCAGAGCCUGGAAAGAGAAUAUACAUGAGCUGGAAAAGGACAAGUUUCGCUUCAUGCAAACAAUUUUACUGUUUGUUACUCCACCUAAGGACUUCAGGGCCUUUAGUUGAGAAUUGAGAGAGAACAUGCAAGGUGGAAAAGAAGUGUACUCCAUGCAAACAGUGCCCUGCUUUUCAAGGCAUGAUAAGAGAAUAAACGAGAUUGAAAAAGGAGAAAUUUGCUUUAUGCAAAAACUCACCUGAUCAUUUUUCUACCUUAGGGUCUUCAAGGCCUGAAGAGAAAAUAUAUGUGCUAGAAAAGGAGAAACGUGCUUCCAUACAAACACAUCUCCUGUGCAUUAGUUCACCUCAGGCUUCAAGGCAUUUUACUGAGAGUGGGUCAAGAUUAAUUGAGGUGAAAAAGGAGAAAUUCGCUUCAUGCAAACAACCUUCUCCUUUUAUUUCUCUACUGCAGGUCUUCAAGGCCUGAAAAUAGAAUAUCUGAAGUGGAGAAAGGGAAAUUUUCUUAAUGCAAAACCUCUCCCAUAAAUGAGUCCACAUAAGAUCUACAAGACCUAAAGAGAAAAUAUAGGAGCUGGAGAAAAGGAGAAAUUUUCUUCUCACUCAAACGACUGCUGGACAUAAAUCUACCUGCAGCAUUCAAAGCCCUUUAAUAGGGAAUGAAUCAGGUAUAUUUGAGGUGGAAAAGGAGAAAUUUGCUUCAUGCAAACUAUCUUCUACUUUUGUUUCUCUAACUCAGGCCUUUGUGACACUCAGGCCUUUGUGACCUUUUAAUUGAAAAUCAAGAUAGCGAAUUGAGAUUAUUGGAAGCAAAAAAAAAGAAAUUUCCAUCAAGCAAAAUAUCUCCAGCUUUAAUUUCAUUGCCACAAGGUCUUCAAUGCCUGAAAAGAGAAUAUCUCAAGUGAAAAAGGAGAAAUUUGCUUCACGCAAAGUUAUCCUGUUAAUUUGUCUACCUAAAGUCUUAAAGACCCAAAGACAAAAUAUAUGAGCUGGAAAAGGAGAAAUUUGCUUCAUGUUAAAAAAAACUCCUGCUUUUCUCUAUCUAAGGUCUUCAAGGCCUGAUGAGAGAAUAUCUUAGGUAGAAAGGGAGAAAUUUGCUUCUUGCAAAUUUCAUAUGCUUGAAUUUCUCUAAACUCUUUUAAGACCUGCAUAGACAAUAUAUGAGGGUGAAAAGAGUAAUUUGCUUCAUGAAAAAAAAAAUUCCUGCUGAUUUCUCUACCUAUGGCCUCUAAGGCACUUGUAAAGAGAACUAAGGCCUGCAAAGAGAACAUUCGAUGUACCAAAGAUGAAAUUUGCUUCAAGCAAAUAAUCUCCAGUUUUCUCUACCGAAGGUCUUCAAGGCCACAAAAGAGAAUAUUGGAGGUAAAAAAGAGGAAAUUUAUUUUAUACACAAAAGUCUCUUGCUUUAUUUUCUAUACCUUGGGUCUUCAAGAGAGAAUAUUUGAGGGGCAAAAGGAGAUAUUGCCUUCUUACAGCUACAUCUCCUGUUCAUUACUCCACCUCAGGCCUUCAAGGCCCUUUCCCUGAGAAUAUUGAAGAGAAACUAUUGAUGUGUUAAAGGGGAAAUUUGCUUCAUGCAAAAAUCUCCAGCUGUAUUCUCUACCUAAGGUCUUCAAGGCCAGAAGAGAGAACAUUUUAGGUCAAAAAGGAGAAAAUUGCUUCAUGUAAACAAUCUCUAGCUUUACUUUCUCUACUUAAGGUCUUCCAGGCCUCAAGAGUGGGUAUUUGAGUUGAAAAAGGAGAUAUUUAGUUUCAAGGACAUAAUGUCCAGUUUAUGUUUCUCUAAGGUCUUCAAGGCCUCAAAAGAGGCUAUUUCCAAUGAAAAAGGAGAAAUUUGUUUUAUGCAAACAAUAUCCUGAUUUCAGUUUUCCAAAGAAAUUCUUCGAGACCUGAAAGUAUAUGGCAUUUAAAAGGGAGAGUUUUGCUUCCUGGAAACACUGUCCCAUUUAUUUGUCUAAAGUAGGUCUACAAGGCCUUCAGAGAUAGCAUAUGAAGUGAAAAAUGAUCAAUUUGUUUCAUGCAAACCAUCUCCAGCUUUGAUUUCUGUAAGGUCUUAAAGGCCUUGCAAGAUAGUGAUUCAGGUGAAAGGAGAGAAAUUAGCUUCAUGUAGUAGAUACAUCUCCCAUUCAUUAAGCCACUUCAGGCCUUCAAGGCUUUUUAGCGGAGAAUGAAUAGAGAAUAUUUGAGGUGCAAAAGGAGAAAUUUGCUUCAUGCAAACCCUCUCCAGCUUUUAUUUCCUCUAUCUGAAGUCCUCUGGACCUUAAAAGAAAAGGCUUGAGGUGGAAAAGGAGAAAUUAACUCUAGUUUUUUGUUUGUCUAAGGUCUUCAGGGCCUCCAAUGAGAACAUUUACGGUCAAAAGGGAGAAAUUAGCUUUAUACAGUCUCCUUUUUUUUCCCUUAAGGUCUUCAAGGCCUGAAAAGAUAGUAUUAAAAAAAGGAGAAUUUUGCUUCAUGCAAAAACUGUCCUGUUCAUUGUUCAACCCAAGGUCUUUAAGGCUAUAGAAGAGAAUACAUAGAUGAUAAAAGAUGAAUUUGCUUCAUGCAAACAAUCUCCAGCUUUUAUACCUCUAUAAAAGGUCUUCAAGGCCUUGAGAGACUAUUUUAGGUGAAAGAAGGGAGGAAUUUGCUUCAUGCAGAUACACUUCCUGUGCAUUACUCCACCUCAGGCCUUCAAGGCCUUUUAAUUGGAAUGAACAGAGAAUAUUUGAGGUGGAAAAGGAGAGAUUUGCUUCAUGCAAUUAAUCUCCAGAUUUGACAACUCAAUAAAAGGUCUUCAAGGCCUUGAGAGACUAUUUUAGGUGAAAGAAGGGAGGAAUUUGCUUCAUGCAGAUAUACUUCCCGUGCAUUACUUCACCUUAGGCCUUCAAGGCCUUUUAAUUGAGAAUGAACAGAGAAUAUUUGAGGUGGAAAAGGAGAAAUUUGCUUCAUGCAAACAAUCUCCAGCUUUUAGGCCUUUUUCUAACAUGUUCAAGGCCAUAAAACAGAACAGUUGUGUUGAAAAUGGAGAAAUUGGCUUUAUGCAUACAGUCUUCAUAUAUAUGUCUCUAACAGCCUUGAAAAGAAAAUACUGAAAGUUUUAAAGGAGAAAUUUGCUUCAUGAAAAUCUCCUGCUUCAUUUUCUCUACGUCAGGUCUAGAAGACUUUAGAAGAGACUAUUUUAGGUGGAAAAGGAGAAAUGUGCUUCCUGCAAAGGUCUUCAAGGCCUCAAAAAGAAUAUUGCCAGUGAAAAUGGAGAAAUAUGCUUCAUGCAAAACAAUCUCCUACUUUUAUUUCUCCCCCCUGAAGUCUUCAAGACCUAAAGAGAGAAUAUUUGAGGAUUAAAAGUAGAAAGAAAUUUGCUUCAUGUAAGCCACCUCCCUCUUUCAUUUCUCUAGGGUGAAAAAGGGAAAAAUUUUCCAUUUGCCUCUUAGCAAAGCUCACCUCAUCAUUUUCUACCCAAGGUGGUGAAAAGGAGAAAUUUGCUUCAUGCAAACAAUGUUCAGCUUUUAUAUCCCUACCUAAGGUCUUCAAGACCUUGAAAGAGGCUAUUUCCAGGGGGAAAAAAAAGAGAAAUGUGCUUCAUGCAGUUACACUUCUUGUGCAUUACUCCACCUCAGGCCUUCAAGGCCAUUUAAUUGAGAAUCAAUAGAGAGUAUCUGAGGUGCAAAAGGAGGGAUUUGUUUUAUUGCAAAGCAUCUCCUGCUUUUCCCUCUUUGGAAGGUCUUCAAGGCCUCCAUAGGGAAUAUUUAUGGUGAAAAAUGAGAAUUUUGCUUCAUGCAAACAAUCACCAGCUUUUACUUCAUCUGAGAUGUUCAAGGCCAUAAAAGAAUAUUAGCAGUGAAAAUGGAGAAAUUUGCUUCAUACAUACAAUCUCAACAUUUUAUUCUUCAAAGUCUUCAAGACCUCAAAAGAAAACAUUUGCAGCUAUAAAGGAGAAACUGGCUUCAUGCAAACCAUCUCCCACUUUCAUUUUUCUACCUAAGGUCUUCACAACUUAAAAACAGAAUAUUUGGGUUGAAAAAGGACAUGCUUUCCUCAUGCAAUCUCCUGCUUCUGUUUCUCCUCCUAAGGGCCAGAAAAGCAAUUUAUGGGGUUAAAAAGGGAGAAAUUUGCUUCAUGCAAAACACUCUCCUACUGCUACCUCUAAGGUCUUCAAGACCUGAAGAGAAAAUAUAUGAACUGAUAAAGGAGACAUUUGUUUAAUGCAUAAACACUUCCUGUGCAUUAGUCCAUUUCAGGUCUUCAAGGCCUUUGAAUAAAGAGUGGAUACAGAAAAUUUCAGAUGAAAAAGGUGGAAUUUGCUUCAUGUGCACUAUCUCCCACUUUCAUUUUUUUACCCUGAGGUCUUCAAGGCCAGAAGGGAGAAUAUUUGGGUUGAAAAAGAGAAAUUGGCUUCACUGGAAUAAAUCUCCUUUGCGUUAGGCCACCUCUCACUUUUAAGGCGUUUUCAAUUGAGAAUGAAUGUAGAAUAUCCAAUGAGCAAGAGAAAUAAUUUCCUUCAUGGAAGAAAAUAUCCCAUUUACUUCUCUACCUAUGGUUUUCAGGGCCUGGAAAGAGAAUAUACAUGAGCUGGAAAAGACAUUUUGCUUUAUGCAAAAAAAGUUACCCUUGGUUUCUCCACCUAAAGCCUUUAGUUGAGAAUCGAGAGAGAACAUGCAAGGUGGAAAAGGAGAAACGUACUCCAUGCAAACAAUGCCCUCCUUUUCAAGGCAUGAAAAGAGAAUAGAGGAGAUUGAAAAAGGAGAAAUUUGCUUUAUACAAAAACUCACCUGAUCAUUUUUCUACCUUAGGGUCUUCAAAGCCUGAAGGGAAAAUAUAUGAGCUGGAAAAGGAGAAAUGUGCUUCCAUACUGACAUCUCCUGUGUGUUAGUUCACCUCAGGCCUUCAAGGUUGUUUUAUUGAGAGUGGACCAAGAUUAACUGAGGUUAAAAAGGAGGUUUGCUUCACGCAAACCACCUUCUCCUUUUAUUUCUCUACUGCAGGUCUUCAAGGCCUGAAAAGAGAAUAUCUGAAGUAGAGAAAGAGAAACUUGCUUUAUGCAAAAACUCUCCCAUUAGUGAGUUCACAUAAGAUCUACAAGACCUAAAGAGAAAAUAUAGGAGCUGGAGAAGUAGAAAUUUUCUUCACACACAGAUGUCUCCUGAACAUAAAUCUACCUUGCAGACUUCAAGGCCUUUUAAUAAGUAAUGAAUAAGGUAUAUUUGAGGUGGAAAAGGAGAAAUUUGCUUCAUGCAAAAAUUAUCCUGUUAAUUUAUCUAAGGUCUUCUAGACCUGAAGACAAAAAUAUAUAAGCUGGAAAAGGAGAAAUAUGCUUCAUGCAAAACCCCCCUGCUUUUCUCUAAGGUCUUAUAGGACUGAAAAGAGAAUAUUUGAGGUAGAAAAGGAGAAAUUUGCUUCAUGCAAAAAAUCUCCAUGCUUGAAUUUGUCUAACGUAAUCUCUUUUAAGACCAGCAUAGAAAAUAUGAGGUGGGAAAGGAGUUAUUUGCUUGAUGCAACAACAACAACAAAAACCUCCUGCUUAUUUCUGUACCCAGGGCCACCAAGGCCUGCAAUGGCAACAUUUGAGGAGUUAAAGGAGAUAUGAUUCACAUACAAAUUUACUUUUUUUUUAAACCUCAUCCUUCAAGUCCUGAAUUUUUUGACAGAGAAAACGUAAUAUUCUUGGAGUAAAAAGGAGAAAUUUUCUUCCUGCCAAAUUAUCCCCUUUAUUUUGCCACCAAAAGUUUUGCCUUCCAUAGCCUUUCAAUUAGGAGAGAAAAUAAAAUAUUUGGGACCAAAGAAAAAGGUAAAAUUUUCAUGCACACAAACCUCCUGCUUCUCACAUCACCUCAGGCCUUUAAGGCCCUUCAAUUUAGAGCUGAGAUGACGAAGAAGGAAUGUGCUUCUUCCCAAGAAGUCUGCCAUUUAUUUCUCUUCUUUAGUUUCUAGGCCUUUUACUGAUAGUGGAGAUGGACUAACUGGAGUUUAAAAAAGAGAAAUUAGAUUCAUAUACAUUCUAACUGGCUCCAUGCAAGUAUCUAACUGUGCAUCCUGUAGGGUGCACCCCUGGCCUUUAUGGCUUGGGCUGUUGCAGAGAGCACAGACGUAGGAAUGGGGGUGAAGAGCUUCAUGCUCAUUCCCCCCAAAUAAUCCCUGAAAGAGUUUUCACUUUGUCCUUCCCCUCUGCCUGCUCUUCCUUCGCAACCUGGGACCAAGUCAACAAACCACUCUGUGGCACCUGUCCAGAUCCAGCAUCCUAAAAGUUGAUAUGGUUUAGUGUGGAAAUGAUGGAGAACGAAAUAGGGUCAGCAAGCACUAACCAAGAAAGGCUCCAUUUCCUCCGAGUGUUCACCUCCAGAAGAAUAGAGAAUGAAGGAAAACCAGAUGAUCGUUGGUUUGGAGAAAAUCCGGCUACCGGUUAAGAGAAAACUGUUCUGGAUCCAAGAUUCAGUCUCGAAUCUCUGGUCCAGGAUAUUAGAGGGUGAUAAAAUAAAAUUUGAGGUGGAGGAGGAGAGGUUUUGCAUCAGCCAAAUUCUUGUAAAACCUAGCUUCAUGUAAAACAGCCUCUCCUUAGGUGAUCUCCUGCCUUGGGUUCUUGGGUUUUCAAGGCCCAGGAGCAAGUAGGGGGAAAAGUAGCUUCAGGCAAAAAGCUCCCCCUUUGAUACAUCAACUCCUAUCCUGGCUACUCUGGCUUUGUGGUGGGGUAGUAGGGAGGGAGCCCCAAAGAAACUGUGCAGGGGCAAAUGGGAGAUUCCUUGCAGAAUCUCCUGAAAAACAUGGUCCAGCUGUCCAAGAAAUCCCCAGUUGGCCUUUAUGGCUGCACUUCUAGAUGAAGAAAUUAUCCUCUUAGACAAUCUGGGAUAUUUCAAUAGUGAGCCUUCUGAGUUUGAGAGGUUAGAGCUGCUCCCACUGGACCAUGUAGGCUCAUUUUCCAUGUUCAUAAAUUUUCCAAUUUGAUAGGGAAAUACCUUUCAUAAUUCUAUAGUGUUAUGUCAGGACUACAAUUUCAAACCUAUAUGACAAAACCACAACGGAGAGAACUCCUUGUCCUUCCAAAAAUCCUGGUUGACCAACUCAGCGUUCAAUGGAAUGGUAUUUCUCUCACUCAACUCAUAUAAAACUGAAAGAUUUAUGCAGUCCAUCACACCAGCAUUUCAACAGUCAAUAAAAUAGCUAAAAUAAAAAGAAACAUAAAACUAAGGGUUGCACAAUACAAUAAAAUAGUUUAAAAUAAAAGUUAAUACUAAAAUAAUUAACAUAUAAAAUGACAUAUAAAUGCAUACAACAGUCAUUCCAUUGAAUGUAGAUGUCUGGGAUAUCUUAGGAUCAAAACAAAUGCCAUGCAUUUGAAGGCCAAAAUUGGAGAGGUUUCUCUCUCUGUCUUUUCUAACGUGAUUAGAUGAAUGGCUUUAUGGCCGCAAACUGAUUAUAGCACUAUAGACCCACCCAAAAACUUCAAGGGAGAAUUCAGUCCAAUUUCCAAGCAAUUUUACUUCAUAGGCUUUGUUUUAAAAAUGUCUGUCACAGAGUAUUUUUUUCUCAAGGUUUUGAAUCUGUACAGAUUUGGGGGGCUGCUACUCCCGCUGGAUCUUGUCUGUCUGUGGUAGACACUGGUAGGAGCAGAGGUAAGUGCCGGGGAGCUCAACGGUUGAAACGUACUAAUUCCCGUGAAGGUGGGUUUGAGGGAUAUCCUCAGGGUGGCCCUGGGUGCUGGCAAGUGUCACCAUAAAGAAUGUCAGUACAUUUAUAGCUGCCUUAGCUUUUCCUUUUCCAAAUCUGCUGGUAGGAUCUUUGUUCCCCACAUCCAGCAAGGAAAGAAUCAGUGUUCCCACAUCCAGGGGAAAAAAUGAAGUGAAGGUGCAGCAGGCGGACUAAGAAGGAGAAUUUACGCGACGCAAUCCUGUCUGCUGUCAGAGAGAGAGCUUCUGUCCCUGCGGCCCCUUACAACAGUUGGGGGUGGGGGACAGGGGGAAGCAGGGGCAGCCCGGUGAGAGGGGACCAGGGAAGGAGGGAGGUGAGGGACCAGACCUGAGGAGGUGGGGACGGAGGGUCUAAGUCCAUGGCGGCACUGCCACUAGGUGCCCCCUGACCCUCAGUGGGAAACCCACUGCAGGGGGGAUGGUGGCAGUGCAGGGGAGGGAGUGGCAGGGAGGAGGGUGUUUCCAGGGACCCCUUCUCUCACUUUUGCCCUCCCCUCGCCUCCCUUCCUUUUUCUCCAGCCACUUCCAUUUCUAUUCCUUCCCUUUCUUCCCUAAAAGUCAAAAACAUUGCUUCCACAGUACCCCAUCGUUUGAGAACCAGAGCUCUCCAGCCGAGCCAGCUCCAACUUCCUCCUGGACCCUCCACUGCCCAAGGGAAACCAUCCUGAAGACUUCCUGACUCCACUUCAACCCCACACAACCCAAAGUCCCAAGUCUCAGGAGGGAAGGCCAUUCUGAAGCUCUCCUGACUCCACGCCAGCCCUGCACAACCUCAGCCCCAAGCCUCAGGAGAGAAACCAUCCUGAAGCCUUCCUGAUUCCACCGCAACCCCACACAAUCCCAGACCCAAGCCUCAGGAUGUCUUCUGGGGCCUGGGGUUAUCUCUGACCCCCCACAAGAUCCACCCUUCUCCCUGCCAGAUAGUCCAAGAAAUGCUUUUCUUCCCCAAAAAACUGUGUUGAUGAAUAAAAGUUGUUUAAAUCCCAUCUUA